CCGGUUUCUUGUUCGUUUCGUUUCCUACAAGUCGAGUUUUGUAAUGCCUGUUGUGUUUGAAUCAUAUGAAUGCACGAAAUAAGAGAAUGGACGUAAUUAGAAAAAUAUUGGAGAUCAGAAAUUUAUGGAGAAAUACAAAAUAUCAGAUGACAUUGGCAUAAUGAUCAUUUCUCCAUCCAGGCCCUUCAGCAAUAUUGAAUUGUCUUUUAAAAACUAAAGGAACGUGUUAUACAAACCAGAUAUAAUGUUGUUUCUAUGAAUCUAUGGUGAAUUAUUGUGGAAUAUUUCAUCUGAACUGAGGUGAACAGCUACAUUUCUCUAUUUUACUGUCUAGAUUGUGUGCAAGAUGAAUUUGUAUAUUAAAUAAACUUGAAUAAAAUUG
rnacentral:lncRNA from 1 species